CACGGGGGGAGCAAGCGUUGUUCGGAAUUACUGGGCGUAAAGGGCGCGUAGGCGGAUUCGAAAGUCAGACGUGAAAACUCCCGGCUCAACCGGGAGCCUGCGCCUGAAACUUCGGAUCUUGAGUACAGAAGAGGAGAGUGGAAUUCCUGGUGUAGCGGUGAAAUGCGUAGAUAUCAGGAAGAACACCGGUGGCGAAGGCGGCUCUCUGGUCUGAUACUGACGCUGAGGCGCGAAAGCGUGGGGAGCAAACAGGAUUAGAUACCCCGGUA
rnacentral:rRNA from 1 species